AUACGUAGGGGGCGAGCGUUGUCCGGAAUGAUUGGGCGUAAAGGGCGCGUAGGCGGCCCGGUAAGUCUGGAGUGAAAGUCCUGCUUUUAAGGUGGGAAUUGCUUUGGAUACUGUCGGGCUUGAGUGCUGGAGGGGAUAGCGGAAUUCCUAGUGGAGCGGUAAAAUGCGCAGAUAUUAGGAAGAACACCGGUGGCGAAGGCGGCUAUCUGGACAGUAACUGACGCUGAGGCGCGAAAGCGUGGGGAGCAAACAGGAUUAGAUACCCUGGUAGACCACGCCGUAAACGAUGAAUACUAGGUGUAGGGGGUAUCGACUCCCUCUGUGCCGCAGUUAACACAAUAAGUAUUCCGCCUGGGGAGUACGGCCGCAAGGUUGAAACUUAAAGGAAUUGACGGGG
rnacentral:rRNA from 1 species